rnacentral:sRNA from 12 species
UCCUGCGCUGGUCGGGUAACGGCAGCGGCGCGAGUCACCAACCUGGGACUGUGGGGAUCUACACCAGGCAGAGCGGCGAAGGCAGCACUCUGGAUCAAAAGGCUGGCCGCGU